UACAGAGGUCUCAAGCGUUGUUCGGAAUUACUGGGCGUAAAGGGCGCGUAGGCGGCCUGCUAAGUCGAACGUGAAAUCCCCGGGCUCAACCCGGGAACUGCGUCCGAUACUGGCAGGCUUGAAUCCGGGAGAGGGAUGUGGAAUUCCAGGUGUAGCGGUGAAAUGCGUAGAUAUCUGGAGGAACACCGGUGGCGAAGGCGGCGACCUGGUCCAUUACUGACGCUGAGGCGCGACAGCGUGGGGAGCAAACAGG
rnacentral:rRNA from 1 species